UCCUUCCGAUACGGGGUUCCUCUCUCUCUCUUCCAAUACAGGUUUCCUCUCUCUCUCUCUCUCUUCCAAUACGGGUUUCCUUCUGCAUUCUUUUACUGAAUUAUAGGGAUUGGAAGCGAUGGGUAUUUGAUUAGAAGCGAUGGGUAUUUGAUUCGAAGCAAGCGAUGUGUAUUUGAUUCGAAGCAAGCGAUGGGUAUUGGAUUCGAAGCGAUGUUCUGGAUUUCUUCAGUACCCAUAGGCAUUCGACGAUGGGUACUGGAUCUCUGAUUUGGGCGGUUAAUGGAUAGUGAAAAUUGUACAAGCUGGCUCUAUCGAAGAACAGAUUGUACUGGCUGGCUCUAUUGAAGAACUAUAUGAUACUAUAUGGAAGAACAAAUGAGUCUCUACAAAAUAGUGGGUUUAUAACUUUGAUGAAUUACAUCUAUUUUCAAACCAUUUGUAGGAAUUUGAAAGCAUCGGUGUCAGUUCAGAAACACAACAAAAUAGUGAACAUGAUGUUCAACUAUCUGGUGUUUUGUUUUGACUCAAGAAGGUGAGAUUGGAACUUGGGACCUCGGACGUAGGGUGGAUGCUGAGUAAAGAGGAUCAGAUUUUGGAUGACAACCCUGCUGAAGCUUAUUUGCUUUUGGAUACUGCUGAAGCUUAUUCGUCUAUAGAAGAUUCAGUCAACAACUGAUAUUGUAUUGAACUAGCAAACGUUAACUUUUCUAAAGGGUCCUUUUUAUAGUUCAAGUUAUUCUGAUAUUUCCUUGUUAUUCAUGGGAAGAUGUCAAUAUUCCUAAGAUGUAUCAAACUUCCCUUUUCAUGUACGAAAAAAUGGUUAAAACCAUACUUUCAUCAA